rnacentral:rRNA from 1 species
GGCCCUUAGGUACCAGGCUUGUAAGCUGGGGACUGACAACCCUUUGAUUUCCGACUCUGUUGCCUCCGGGGCGACCCUGCCUUCGGGCGGGGGCUCCGGGUGGACACUUCAAACUCUUGCGUAACUUUGCAGUCUGAGUAAACUUAAUUAAUAAAUUAAAACUUUUAACAACGGAUCUCUUGGUUCUGGCAUCGAUGAAGAACGCAGCGAAAUGCGAUAAGUAAUGUGAAUUGCAGAAUUCAGUGAAUCAUCGAAUCUUUGAACGCACAUUGCGCCCCCUGGUAUUCCGGGGGGCAUGCCUGUUCGAGCGUCAUUUCACCACUCAAGCCUCGCUUGGUAUUGGGCAACGCGGUCCGCCGCGUGCCUCAAAUCGUCCGGCUGGGUCUUCUGUCCCCUAAGCGUUGUGGAAACUAUUCGCUAAAGGGUGUUCGGGAGGCUACGCCGUAAAACAACCCCAUUUCUAAGGUUGACCUCGGAUCAGGUAGGGAUACCCGCUGAACUUAAGCAUAUCAAUAAGCGGAGGAA